CAGUAGCCGCGGUAAUACGUAGGGUGCAAGCGUUAAUCGGAUUACUGGGCGUAAAGCGUGCGCAGGCGGUUAUGUAAGACAGGUGUGAAAUCCCCGGGCUUAACCUGGGAACUGCGCUUGUGACUGCACAGCUAGAGUAUGGCAGAGGGGGGUGGAAUUCCACGUGUAGCAGUGAAAUGCGUAGAGAUGUGGAGGAACACCGAUGGCGAAGGCAGCCCCCUGGGCCAAUACUGACGCUCAUGCACGAAAGCGUGGGGAGCAAACAGGAUUAGAUACCCGCGUAGUCCCUGUCUCUUAUACA
rnacentral:rRNA from 1 species